AUUGCUGUCGCUUGAACCCCAGCUGGAGAGGAUUCUCAAAGAAGAGAAAUACUAUUAGAAGGGAGAACAGAGGACACAAAUCACCUCUUUCUUCUCAUCUCUACUCACAGAAUCAACAACAUUUGAAAAACAACAGGAACAUCACUGAAUGGGAGGAGGGAUCCUGGCUGAAAGAUCCAACCAGACUGCUGGAAGCAUAUGCCAGCAAGCAACCACAGAGAGCAAGAACCAGCAGGAGAAGUAACAACUUGGGAGAGAAAAGGGAGGGAGCAGAGCACAGAUCUGUUUCUGGAACACACCCGAGGGAGUGCUUUAUCUUACCUUGGAUACACCGACAGUACCACUGGAUGUCACUGUUGCUUCAUGAAAGUCAAAAGAUGUACCAGUUGCUGCCAAUGUAGCAUUUAGGGUCUUUCCCUCCACACCUGCAGAAUGACUGAGCCAGAUAACAAGGAGAAAGAAGAGGACUCGGG